GGAAAAGUCUCCGAAUUAGACCGAGGUUUUGGCUAGCCCCCCAUUGUCAGACGUCCCGAGCGCGUUCCCGAAGUCGGAAUCGGCAACGGUGAGCCGGGACAGCCUUCUUCCUCCGCCCAGCCGCCACAGUGAUUGUCGUCAAGUCUGCUACAGGAGGAUUUUAUUUUGGUUAACCUGCUUUUCUCCUUCGCAGGUUGUUUAUCAAUAUUUGUGUAAUUUUAUUUACUCCUAGAAUUUCCGCAUGUGUUAGAAGUAUUUAUUUGAUUAUGGUCUGUAAUAUUAUUAUCA